GACAGAGGGUGCAAACGUUGUUCGGAAUUACUGGGCGUAAAGCGCGUGUAGGUGGCGAGGCAAGUCGGGUGUGAAAGCCCUGGGCUCAACCCAGGAAGUGCACUCGAUACUGCCUAGCUAGAGUCCCGGAGAGGUUGGUGGAACUCUCGGUGUAGAGGUGAAAUUCGUAGAUAUCGAGAAGAACACCGGUGGCGAAAGGCGGCCAACGUGGGACGGUGACUGACGACUGAGACGCGAAAGCGUGGGGAGCAACAGGAUAAGAUGACCCAGUAGUCCCCAGUACCAACGU
rnacentral:rRNA from 1 species